GUAUUAGGCCGAUAUCCGAUACAGACCAGCGCCCGUCGUUUUUCCCCCACCUCGCCUCUCGCUCAAGACCUAGAUCGAGUUGCGCUGCCAGUAGGCGCCGGCGCUGGUGUCCACGAGGAGGUCAAGCGACGGCGUUCGCGAUGGCGACGUGGUGAGGCGCAGAAGACGGUGGCCUCAACGGGGUUUAGGCGCGCCGACGACGGCGACUCACUCCUGGCCACGAUGGUGAUGGCUACUCGCUCGUGGCCGCGACGGCGACGCUGGUCGGCAAUCGUGACCUAAUCGUGAUGGGAACCGCUCAUCCUCCUCUGCUCCGCCAAGGUUCUAAUGACGCAAAAUAGGGCUAAGUGGACAGCAAGGCAUGAGAAAAGUCUCGUGGAGGUACUUACAGAGUACAAUCUAUCUCAUUACCAUGGCCAAAAUGGGUGGACUACAGAAGGAUGCAAUCAAGUUGUCAAGGAAUUGAACAAUUUAUAUCCAGAGGCAAGUUUUACCAAGGAUCAGGUCCAAGAUAAGGAAGCUCGGUUGAAAAAGCACUACAAAAAUAUCAAGUCCACAAUCAACCGUUCUGGAAUAUCAUGGAAUCAUAUUGCAUCUGUGAUCAACACCAUGCCUGAAAAACGGGAAGAGAUCAUUGCAGAGGACCCAAAGCUCAAAAUGGAUGAAGGAAAGAGCUUUCCAUUUUACGAGGCAUGGGGUGUGCUCUAUGAAGGACACAUUUCUCAAGGAAGACAUUGCCUCACAUCAAGGAAGCCUCUGAUUGUCACAAAAUUAGGUAGCAACUUUGGAGCAAAGGAGAAGAUGGUUGCAAGCACUAGCAAGAAAAAUACAAGACAUGGAAGAGAUGACAACAUAAGGACUUCUUCAAUAAUUGACAUCAAUGAUACUCCUACAUUAGAUGAUGUGGAUGAAAGAGAGAACACUAUCAAUGACGAGGAAGAAUUAGGCAGUGAAGAUGCUGAUGGUGAUCAACCACAAAUAAGUGAAUCAAGUCCUAAGGGGAAAAAACCAAGAAACAAAAAGGUGCCACAUCUGUACAGCGGCUUGAAUAUUCCAUGAUGGCUUAUGUGAAUUUCAAGAAAGGGCAAGCUUCCAAGAAGGAAAAAGUGUCAUAGCAAGGAAAAUAGCCCUCAAUUACAGAAUGCUUAGAGGUCUUGAAUGACAUGGAUGAUGUUCACGAUGAGGUCAAAAUCUUUGCCUCUGAUGUUUUCAAAGAUGCUGCAAACCGUGAGAUUUUUCUGGGUUACAACUCAAGAUUGCGGGGUAUGUGGCUAAAGAAGGAAGUCGACAAGAUUAGUCCUCAGCCUCCUCCUUCGAGUAUUCCUUUGCAGCUCGACUUUCAUCUGGUGGUCUUCCUUCAAUCAAUCUGGUGCUCUGAUCAAAGGAUUGGUUGCCCUCUUUAUUGCAUGAUUGCUUGCCCUGUUUAUUGGGUUCUACACAUGGUCUCAACUUCAGAGUUAUACUGUUGGUGCUGAUGUUUCAAUCCCCCUUUGCAACAUAAUAUUCUAGACAUGUGUAGACUUGUUGCUGCCUGGAACAUUUUUCUUAUUCAAGAUUUUGUUUAUAUUGCUGCCAUGUUGUUUCUUCAUCGGUCUUUCUUGAAAAAUAAUGUAGUUACUUUAAAUUUGAGUGACAUGCUAUGGCUACCUUGAACCAUCUGGCUCCCAUUGGUAAUUCAGGAUUUUGUUCUAAUCUUUUUGACAUACAUGGUUGUUCUCUACAUCCAUGGUUGGUAUCAUUCAUAGAGCACAAAGUGAUCAUUAUAUAGCUAAUGUUUUUUUUCAGGUCGCCCUUUCGCAUGAUUCUGUGAUUACCCGAGUCCAUGAAGCAGUCAUAAUCUUUCAGAAAUAUUUUAUGUCUAGACGCACACCGAUUGAACAAUUGCCGAGUCCUAACUUUGGUUAUGUACCAUGCCAACGAGACGAGACAAGUAUGCCUCAAUAGAAUUGUAAUUUAAAUUGCUGACUUUGAGCACUAUGAGUUAUCGGAACUAUGUUCAACUGGAAGAUUGCAAAAAUAUGAUCUUUUUUACUGAUGUUGUGCUAUUGUAAUAUAAAUGAAAAUUUUAGCUCA